GACACUAGAAACCCAACCCUUGCUUGUAUCAAUCAGCCUAUGGUAAAACUGGUUUUCUAUUGUGUUAUUUCACUUAACGUUGACUUAAGUGAGGCUGCACAUGGAUACGUCAUCUAACCCACUGAUACGUGAAGAAAAGAGUUAAGUGAGGUGGUGAAAUUAACAAGUCUGCAAGUGGACAGCGUGGUGGGCCUGCGUAGAGAACUGAGCAACGCUUCUGAACUGUCUACCAGGCAGAACAGAAAGCGACAUGGAGGGCCCGGCCUCAAAUGGAACCACCAGGAACACACAGGAAGACAAAUGAUGCCCCAACCUUAAAUAGUGGGGUAUUUUAAGGGAAGUGUUUGAAAAAAGUGAACCAGGCAGUGCUAAUUAAAGAAUAUUGAAGAAAAAAAGGGACGAGAAAACUACACGGCUCGGUCACCUGCACCACCGGCCUGACACGGCACCGAGCAGAGAGUCUGGCUCUGACAGAGGGAGAGCGUUAAAGACAGCGCUACCUUCUAAUACAGGAGGGAAAAAUGUUCAAUUCAUGAUUUUGCUAUUGUUUACACUGCUAGUGUCAAAUCUAAGAAUGCAGCUGGAACU